GCGGAAGGAUCAUUAUUGAAUACGUUGGYACUGUUGCUGGCUCUUCACUGAGCAUGUGCACGUCCAUCUAUUUAUCUUCUCUUGUGCACCUUUUGUAGUCUUUUGAAGAAGAGUGGGUGKUCUCCUCAGGGAGAACGCUUCGCCCUUUUUUCRGAGGCUAUGUUUUCAUAUACACUAUAAAGUUACAGAAUGUCUUUUAAAGAUUGUGCUAGCCGCAGUCAUUAAACCUAUACAACUUUCAGCAACGGAUCUCUUGGCUCUCCCAUCGAUGAAGAACGCAGCGAAAUGCGAUAAGUAAUGUGAAUUGCAGAAUUCAGUGAAUCAUCGAAUCUUUGAACGCACCUUGCGCCCUUUGGUAUUCCGAAGGGCAUGCCUGUUUGAGUGUCAUUAAAUUAUCAACCUUCUUGCUUUGCUUGCAAAGCAUCUAGGCUUGGAUGUGGGGGUUUUUUGCUGGCUUCCUUCGGUGGAUGGUCUGCUCCCCUUAAAUGCAUUAGCGGGAUCUCUUGUGGACCGUCACUUGGUGUGAUAAUUAUCUAUACCACUUGGCCUUGAAGCAAAUCUUAUGAGGACCCGCUCAUAACCGUCCCUUCUGGGACAACUCUUGACAUUUUGACCUCAAA
rnacentral:rRNA from 1 species